CCCUGGCUGCUGCUGUGUGGAAGACUAGUGAUUUUGUUGUUUUUAGUUAGAUCAACCGACAACAAAUCACAGUCUGCCAAAUAGCACAGGC
ensembl:miRNA MIR7-1 microRNA 7-1